rnacentral:rRNA from 1 species
GGGGGACGGUGAUCGGGAUUAUUGGGCGUAAGGGCUCGCAGGCGGUUUCUUAAGUCUGAUGUGAAAGCCCCCGGCUCAACCGGGGAGGGUCAUUGGAAACUGGGAAACUUGAGUGCAGAAGAGGAGAGUGGAAUUCCACGUGUAGCGGUGAAAUGCGUAGAGAUGUGGAGGAACACCAGUGGCGAAGGCGACUCUCUGGUCUGUAACUGACGCUGAGGAGCGAAAGCGUGGGGAGCGAACAGGAUUAGAUACCCUGGUAGUCCACGCCGUAAACGAUGAGUGCUAAGUGUUAGGGGGUUUCCGCCCCUUAGUGCUGCAGCUAACGCAUUAAGCACUCCGCCUGGGGAGUACGGUCGCAAGACUGAAACUCAAAGGAAUUGACGGGGGCCCGCACAAGCGGUGGAGCAUGUGGUUUAAUUCGAAGCAACGCGAAGAACCUUACCAGGUCUUGACAUCCUCUGACAACCCUAGAGAUAGGGCUUUCCCUUCGGGGACAGAGUGACAGGUGGUGCAUGGUUGUCGUCAGCUCGUGUCGUGAGAUGUUGGGUUAAGUCCCGCAACGAGCGCAACCCUUGAUCUUAGUUGCCAGCAUUUAGUUGGGCACUCUAAGGUGACUGCCGGUGACAAACCGGAGGAAGGUGGGGAUGACGUCAAAUCAUCAUGCCCCUUAUGACCUGGGCUACACACGUGCUACAAUGGACAGAACAAAGGGCUGCGAGACCGCAAGGUUUAGCCAAUCCCACAAAUCUGUUCUCAGUUCGGAUCGCAGUCUGCAACUCGACUGCGUGAAGCUGGAAUCGCUAGUAAUCGCGGAUCAGCAUGCGCGGGUGGAAUACGUUCCCGGGCCUUGUACACACCGCCCGUCACACCACGAGAGUUUGCAACACCCGAAGUCGGUGAGGUAACCUUUAUGGAGCCAGCCGCCGAAGGUGGGGCAGAUGAUUGGGGUGAAUCUAAAAAGGAGGCCCCCCCAAAAAAAAAAAGGGCGAAA